CUGACCCCAAUCGGGAACCUGUUCGGCGCCGUGAACGGUCCCAAGUACGACGGCAAGUUCCUGCACGACAAGAUCAAGAGCCUCACCCACGACGUCACCAUCGCCCAGACCGUCACCAACAUCAUCGUCCCCACCUUCGACAUCAAGUUCCUGCAACCCGUCAUCUUCAACACGUACGAGGCCAGGGUGGACCCGCUCAAGAACGCGCACCUCUCCGACAUCUGCAUCAGCACCUCCGCCGCGCCCACCUACUUCCCCGCGCACUACUUCACCACCCACGACCCCGCCGGGAACCUCUCCGACCGCGAGUACCACCUCAUCGACGGCGGCGUGGCCGCCAACAACCCCACCAUGGCCGCCAUGUCCAUGAUCACCAAGGAGGUGCUGCGCCGCAACCCCGACUUCACGCACGGCAAGCCCGCCGAUUACAACAACUACCUCAUCAUCUCCAUCGGCACCGGGUCCGCCAAGCAGGCCGAGAAGUACACCGCGCCCGAGUGCGCCAAGUGGGGCGUCCUCCGCUGGCUCUACGACGGCGGCUUCACCCCGCUCAUCGACGUCUUCUCCCAUGCUAGCGCCGACAUGGU
rnacentral:lncRNA from 1 species